UGGGGAAUCUUGGACAAUGGGGGCAACCCUGAUCCAGCCAUGCCGCGUGAGUGAUGAAGGCCUUAGGGUUGUAAAGCUCUUUCACCGGUGAAGAUAAUGACGGUAGCCGGAGAAGAAGCCCCGGCUAACUCCGUGCCAGCAGCCGCGGUAAUACGGAGGGGGCUAGCGUUGUUCGGAAUUACUGGGCGUAAAGCGCGCGUAGGCGGACUGAUCAGUCAGGGGUGAAAUCCCGGGGCUCAACCCCGGAACUGCCUUUGAUACUGUCAGUCUUGAGUCCGGAAGAGGCGAGUGGAAUACCGAGUGUAGAGGUGAAAUUCGUAGAUAUUCGGUGGAACACCAGUGGCGAAGGCGACUCGCUGGUCCGGUACUGACGCUGAGGUGCGAAAGCGUGGGGAGCAAACAGGAUUCAGAUACCCUGGUAGUCCACGCCGUAAACGGGUGGGCGCUAGGUGUGGGGGAUCGUUUCCACGAUCUCCGUGCCGUAGCUAACGCAUUAAGCGCCCCGCCUGGGAGUACGGCCGCAAGGCUAAAACUCAAAGGAAUUGA
rnacentral:rRNA from 1 species